rnacentral:lncRNA from 1 species
GGCGGAGAACUGCAUAGUUUCGGUCAACCCUAAACCCUCAAAGGGAUUAUCCUCUAAGCUUCUCGAUCUUGUGGAGAGAGUUGUUGUGAAGCUCAUGCACGAUGCUUCUCUGCCUCUCCACUACCUCUCCGGCAACUUCGCUCCCGUGCGGGAUGAAACUCCUCCGGUGAAGGAUCUCCCCGUCGUCCAUGGAUUUCUUCCAGUAAGUGAGCUCUUUAAUUUACACACUCCAUAUCCUUUUCCGAGGAAGGUUCUAAUUCGUCUUUUUUAUAUUUCCCAGGAGUGCUUGAAUGGUGAAUUUGUGAGGGUUGGUCCAAAUCCCAAGUUUGAUCCCGUCGCUGGAUAUCACUGGCAUGUCUAUCUUCUUCCAUUUGUAUUUUUUAUUUCUGCACUCUCCUCUUCUUCUUCUUCUUCUUCUUAUUAUUAUUGCUUCCCUUUCUUUUCAGGUUUGAUGGAGAUGGGUACGCCAACUAACUGUUUCUAUCGUCUCAUCAAACCCUAUGACCUGCUUAAUUCCUUUCUCUUUCAUUAUCUCUCACCCGAGAAUCUUCCUCUCACACACCUUCAUUAAUUACUUCAGGAUGAUACAUGCUGUACGCAUCAAAGAUGGGAAAGCAACUUAUGUUUCUCGUUAUGUUAAGACAUCACGCCUCAAGCAGGAAGAGUUUUUCGGAGCUCCCAAAUUCAUGAAGAUUGGGGACCUUAAGGGUCUUUUGGGAUUGCUUAUGGUCUAUCUCCAACAGCUCAGAACCAAACUGAAAGUUUUGGACGUCUCUUAUGGACAUGGAACUGGUUGGUUUGGUUGCUUCUUCCCUUUUACUUUCUCUCGUAGCUAAAAAAUAAAAAUAAAAUCUCGCUCUCUUUCUCCAUGUACCAGCUAAUACAGCCCUCGUCUAUCACCAUGGAAAACUUCUAGCUCUCUCGGAGGCAGAUAAGCCAUGUUAUUCUCUACUACCUUUUCGUUUUUCUUUUUUUUUAAUACAAAGUUAGCUCAGAUUUUUGAACUUAAUCUAUUUAGAGACCAAAUCUUCUGGUAUCUUGGCAGUGUUUUGCGUCAAUUUUUAACAUAAAAGAAAAGCUAGAUUGGAAGGUUUAUGUUUGCUAUCUUAUAACUUCAAAGCUUUUCGUUUGUAGAUGUCGUCAAAGUCUUGGAAGAUGGAGACCUUCAAACUCUUGGCAUGAUGGAUUAUGACAAGAGAUUGACCCACUCCUUCACUGCACACCCUAAAGUUGACCCAACUACCGGUAAGUCUUCCCUUAUCUCCUGACCCGCAAGCUACUUAUUCUGUUGACUCAUCAUGGUCGGACCCUCUCUUACAGGUGAAAUGUUUACAUUUGGCUAUUCGCAAACGCCACCUUAUCUCACCUACAGAGUGAUCUCGGAAGACGGCUUUAUGCAUGACCCUGUCCCAAUUACUAUAUCUGAGCCAAUCAUGAUGCACGAUUUUGCUAUUACUGAGACUUACGCAAUCUUCAUGGAUCUUCCUAUGCACUUCAGGCCAAAGGUACGUUGUUCAUCAAGUUUAUAUAUAUAUAUAGGUCACACAAGAGAUUUUUGCUUCCUAUAUACUUUUGUUGAAAUGCCACAAGAGAAGAUGAUUAUAUAGCAAAUAUGGAAACUCUUUUUUUUUUAUAUAUAUUUCCUUGUGAGAAUCCUAGAUUCAUGUGUAACUGAUUCUCUAGGAAAUGGUGAAAGAGAAGAAAAUGGUAUACUCAUUUGAUCCAACAAAAAAGGCUCGUUUUGGUGUUCUUCCACGCUAUGCCAAGGAUGAACUCAUGAUUAGAUGGUUUGAGCUUCCCAACUGCUUUAUAUUCCAUAACGGUGUGUGCUUUGCUAUGCUAUGUCUGUUCAAGGGAUCAUGUUGUCAAAAUUUCAUAUUCGAUAUAUACCAAUCAAACCUCUGUAAAUGGCUCCUUUUAAUUUUAUCCAGCCAAUGCUUGGGAAGAAGAGGAUGAAGUCGUCCUCAUCACUUGUCGCCUUGAGAAUCCAGAUCUUGACAUGGUCGGCGGGGAUGCGAAAGAAAAACUUGAGAACUUUAGCAACGAACUGUAAGAAUCACUGACCUGUUUUACUCUCUCGUAAACCAUAUGCUCUGUCUCAACUAUUUCUUUUGCAGGUACGAAAUGAGAUUUAACAUGAAAACGGGCUCAGCUUCUCAGAAAAAACUAUCGCCAUCUGCAGUUGAUUUCCCCAGAAUCAACGAGUGCUACACUGGAAAGUAUGAGUUCACCCUUGUCCUUGUGUGUUUGAUAUUUUAUGCAUUGUGUCCCUAGCAAGGAAAUGCAAUGUUUUCUUGUUUCUGUGGUGCGUUUUAGGAAACAGCGAUAUGUAUAUGGAACAAUCCUGGACAGUAUCGCCAAGGUUACAGGAAUUAUCAAGUUUGAUCUGCAUGCGGAAGCUGAGACAGGGAAAGAAAUACUGGAAGUAGGAGGCAAUAUCAAAGGAAUCUAUGAGCUGGGUCAAGGCAGAUACGGUUCAGAGGCUAUAUAUGUCCCUCGUGAGGCAGGGGAAGAAGAUGAUGGUUACUUGAUAUUCUUUGUUCAUGAUGAAAACACAGGGUAGUUAUUGCUCUCCUGCUAUAGUUUCGUAUUUCUCAAUUGUUCAUUUUGUCUUUCUGGUACAAUAAUAUGUUGAUUGAACAUUGGUAGGAAAUCAUGUGUGAAUGUGAUUGACGCAAAAACAAUGUCUGCUGAGCCAGUGGCAGUGGUGGAGCUGCCGCAUAGGGUUCCAUAUGGCUUCCAUGCCUUCUUUGUUACAGAGGUACUAAAACCAAAACCCAUAAUUAUAUAUAUCUUCUUUACAAGGGAUGCAACUCUAACCACCAGGGGGUCUUGUCUUGGCAGGAACAACUCCAGGAACAAACUCUUACAUAAGACAAGUUGUGUGCAUAAUUAUAUUAUAUGUUAUAUGCUACUAUGAAGACGUUGGAGAACCGAGAAAUUGGAUGAUUCAGACAUUCGUAUUACAUAUACUACAUGUAUAUUCAUUUGAAUGCCUCGUUUCUGUUUACAUAAGAAUUUACAUUUUCAUUUCAAUAGUAAACUAGGGUUCUUCUAUCUUCCUUGGCCUUUUGAAUUGAGGGAGAUUGGUGGCUUUCUCCUUUGUUCUUUACGUGCUCUAGGUUCAAGCAGCUUCAGUAGUACCCCCACCUCAAAUCUUGUAGUAAGCCUGUUUUCUUACUACCAGAAGAAUCGAACGAAGAGGGAAAAUAACAUUUGAAGGCUUGAUAGUAGAGUAGAGGGUGGGAGAACUGAACUAGAACCUUAAGGAUAGGGACCAUCCCCGUAUAUGGAUUUAGCUUAUAUGGUUGUAGCUAGCAUUUAGUAUAACAAUACGAGUGUUACAAUACACACAUAAACGAAAAUGUAAGUAGAAUGGAAAAUUACAUGUACAGAGAGGACUGAACAUGAGAGAGUAGUAUAGUGUGGACAUCAUCUUCUAUUAGACUAAUUUUUCUUCUUCUUCUUCUGAGUUUUCACUACACUAAAACAAUUAACUUAAUGGAGACAAUCAAUGGAUGCUGGGCUCCCCAAAGACCUCGCUGUUACAGACCGGGCAAAUCUGCAUUCCAUAGGCAUAGAGACGUUUCAGUUGAACUGAGGAUGUGAAACGAAGAACAUAUAAUGAAUAAUACCUUGUUGAUGCUUAGCCACUUAGAUAUGCAUUCGGAAUGAUACACGUGCUUGCACGGAAGAUUCAUCUGCUUCUCCCCAAUCUUGUACUUGAGCUGGCAUAUCACACACCUGAUCAUCAUCACACAAUGUUGAGUAUAAACCCUGUGAUGAACAUUUGUUAUAAGGUAGCUAGCUCUCUUUACCUAUCCCCUGCUCUUUUCCUGGAGAAGAAGCUCCCGAACUUAUAUUUUCUAGUGGGAAGCGUUUCUAUGAGUUCCUGAGAUAGCCCUCGGCUUUCUGAUCCUACCGCUUCCCCGAGCUCUAUUAAUUCCUGAUCCACAAAACCAUUUAGAUGCAAGUCAAGUGCCUCUCUUGACAAUCAAGUAAAAAGAAAAGAAAAGCUCACAAGGACUGGAACAAACCUCAUAGGUCAUUGUAUCCGGAUCAAUGUCGUCUUGCCAGGAUACCUGUGGCAUUAACGAGCAUAUAGAAUUCAUAUCAGUGUUUUAAAUCGCAAAGAUUGACACAGAUUCAAAAACCUUUCGAUCAGGUGCACAUACCUGAGGACUCUCGGGAUCAUGUUCAAUUGCAAUGCCUGUAAAAAUAGACAUAUUCUUAGCUUAGAAAAAUCCAACAAGGGAUAAAAAAAAAAAAAAGAAGAAGAUAAUCAGCAGAAAUAACUAACAUUCUUCAGCGUCAGAGUGAUCAUCCGUGUCCCCGACUUGGACAGAGCGUGGAACUGACUCAUCAACGUUUACCAUGGGAAGGUACUCCCAAUUGGUUCUCCCAAUUGACAUCCUGGAUAGAUGAUCGUUCAGGUCAUAAGAACCAUAGAAAGAAGCAUUAUCUGAUCCUGAGAAUCCAAACUUGUAUGCAUUUGUGUUCAUGGUCCAGUACAGGCUGUCCUGAGAAUAGGCAAAGUAAGGAAACUUAUGUAGGCAGACAUUGUAAGAUACAAAAACAAUAUUGAAGGCACAGGAAAGAAAGGGUGGAAAGUACCUGAUGAGGAUGCAUUGUUCCGGCAUGAGCAUAGUUUAGGGGAUCCUGAGCCGCACCACCAUAAAAGUCCAUGUAACUAGCAGAAGCCGCAUACGGGAAACCCGUCUCAGGGUAAUGAGAAUCUGGUCUAUCUCCAUUCAUUUCAGCUAUUGCUAUUGGAAGGAGAGAGUGAGAUGCGUUUAGAAGAAGCGGGAGGAGCGCUAAUGUUAAAAUAAAACAGACAAGAAAAAAGGUAAAAGCAUGGGAGGGGAAAGUGUUGAGCAAUGUCAGACUUAAGUGUCCUUGAGGUAAGUGAGUAGAUUUGAAAUCCAGCUUGAAAUACCUUACAAGAUACGAAUGAACGAACCCCUAUCACACAACUCCAGGGGGGAAAAUAAACAAAACUUUUGCCUAUUCAUGUUAAAAGGGUUGAAACAGAACAAGUCCAGGAAGCAGUAGAAGCCGAGGAGUAGUGACAGAUGUGUCACCGACAAUGGCUGUCUGCGCAACUCACUCCUCUCUCAUGAUAGCAUACGCCGCAUCCAAGGACCUUACAAUUCCGUCUCUUUUCUCAUCUGCCAACCCAAGACCCAACAAGUUGAGCGUCGCACUCUAUCCCCCUCUUGUUCUCCUUGCGGGGAGAAGAGCUUCGAACCCAUCCUUCCCGGUGGUUGUCUCAGCCGUAGCCGCAGAGGCUGAUGUCGACACGGAGGACGCGGAGCAGAACGAAGCCACCUCCACCACCGCCACAGCCGUCCUCGAUCCGCCAAAGCCUAAGAAAGGAAAAGCAGCUUUGCUUCUCAAGAGAGAUAGAGUAUGCUUUGCUUAUCCAUCCUUUCCUUUACAAUCCCAAGCUCUAAACAUGAUUUUUUUUUCUUUCUAUGACGAUGAUGAUUCUUUUAUGUUUGUUUGUUUGUUACUCUCAUUUGGCAGACAAGGUCUAAGAGGUUUCUGGAAAUCCAAAAGCUAAGGGAAACCAAAAAGGAGUACGACGUCAAGACUGCUAUAUCUUUGCUUAAGCAAACCGCUAACACAAGGUUUGUGGAGUCGGUCGAAGCCCAUUUCCGUCUCAACAUCGAUCCUAAGUACAAUGAUCAGCAGCUGCGAGCAACCGUAUGGUUUUUUUUAUUUUGCUUUACAUAUAUGUAUAGCUUUGUGUUUCGUUGAAAUUUAAAUCUGAACGCAUUGUCUUUGGUAGGUGAGCCUUCCUAAAGGAACAGGGCAAACUGUUAAAGUGGCUGUUCUUGCACAAGGUAACUAAUUGCCCCCCCUCCCCUCCCCUCCCCUCCCCUCCCAAAUGCUAAGUUAGUCGGACAGUUCAUUCCAAGGGACUCUGUAGAAAAUACUUUGUGUGGUUGACCUUCUAUUAUUUUGUUUGGAUGGAUUGGUGUAUUUCUAUAGAGAAAAAUGUGCUGGGAUCAUUCUUUUCCUUUCUUUCUGUUUCUCUAAGUUAUUUCCAUGAUGAAUAAUAUCCAGGUGAGAAGGUCGAUGAAGCAAAAAAUGCAGGGGCAGAUAUUGUGGGCAGUGAUGAUUUGAUCGAACAGAUAAAAGGAGGGUUCAUGGAGUUCGAUAAGUUAAUUGCAUCCCCGGAUAUGAUGGUCAAGGUGUGUUUUUACUCAUUUGUUAAUAACAAAAAUAAACUUGAAUAGCUGUUACGACAUUCAUUCUUGGCAAAGAAUGUGACAUGAGACAAAUGUUGCUCGUCAUCUCUUAUUACUAAACCUUCUUUAACUUGGGCGGUUAGGUUGCUGGCCUGGGAAAGAUUCUUGGUCCACGAGGACUCAUGCCAAAUCCCAAGGCUGGUACCGUCACAGCUAACAUUCCACAGGUUAGCCUACUACUUACUCAGGCAGGCAAAAUCAUCUUCGGGUAAUCAAUCAUAGUAUAAUGAUGAUAUGCAUAAAUCUAUCUCAGGCUAUAGAAGAGUUCAAGAAGGGAAAAGUAGAAUUCAGAGCAGACAAAACUGGGAUUGUUCACAUUCCGUUUGGGAAAGUGAAUUUCACAGAGGAAGACCUGCUCGUAAACUUCCUUGCAGCAGUGGUAGGCUGAUUCUCCCCCAUUUAAUAACGUUGUUUAUCUCUUGUGCUGCUGAAUAAAAAGAGUGGAACGUAAAUGCAGAAAUCGGUGGAGACAAACAAGCCAAAGGGAGCAAAAGGAGUGUACUGGAAAAGCGCACACAUAUGUUCGUCAAUGGGGCCAUCCAUCAAGUUGAACAUAAGGGAGAUGAUAGACUUCAAGCCAUAAAUAACCACAUUUGUGUUUUUUUUUUUGUGAGUGUAGGCGAACACCAUUAGUUAUCUCUUGUAUACCUCACCGGUUGUAUCACCUUAACUCUGAUAAGACCAUUUGCUUUAUUGAUUAUUACUGUUAAAAUUGCGAGGCCUCUAUUGCCUUAAUGCCUGCCUUCACCACUGGAGAUGAGAGAACACACGAGUCUUUUUUUUUUUAAAUAAAAAAAAAAACAAAUAUCCUUGAAAUUGGAAGAUAAAAUGAGAUAAUUUCAUGAGGCCGUUACGUUGCGACGUGGCAGCGUUUUCUGCCAAGGAUACAAAGCUCGUGAGUGAGUGAAAAGGAAGGUUCGUAAUCCUUCCUUGCAAUCAAUCGAUCAUUCAUGGCGGAGAACUGCAUAGUUUCGGUCAACCCUAAACCCUCAAAGGGAUUAUCCUCUAAGCUUCUCGAUCUUGUGGAGAGAGUUGUUGUGAAGCUCAUGCACGAUGCUUCUCUGCCUCUCCACUACCUCUCCGGCAACUUCGCUCCCGUGCGGGAUGAAACUCCUCCGGUGAAGGAUCUCCCCGUCGUCCAUGGAUUUCUUCCAGUAAGUGAG